GUUCACGGACUGUUCUUAGAUAAUCUUACCCGAUCUCUCUCUCUCUCUCUCUCUCUCUCUCUCCAUCAAUUUACGGUCCUCUCUCACUCUCAUCUUCUCCAUUUCUCACACACUUAGUACAUUUUUUUUACACAGGGCCGGCCGUGGCCGCCUUGGGCCUUAGAUUUUAGAGGGCCUCAGUAGGGGUUGGAAAAAAAAUAAAAAUAAAAAAUAAGUUAGGGCAAGUUUCAGACGACUCAAUCUGCUUCGACACUCCGCAGGGCGCAGCCUCCGCUAUCGCCUCAGGUGACAAGGCACCACUCUCUCUCUCUACCCUAAAUAUCAGAUCAUGCCUCCUCAAUCAUUAGGUUUUAUUCUUUCAAAGAAGAAACAAUUUGGAUUGAGUAGAGCCAGAAAAAAGAGAAUCGUUCAUCCUGGCGUGUUUGGUCAUUACAUCAGAACAUGGAUGUUUCCAAACUUCAACGCAAUUACUUCGUAAAGAUUUUACAGACGGUUCUAUAAACAAGGGUUGAACAAAAGUUUAAGAGAAGGGUCGAUGCAGUAUGGUAAUGUUGAUUUGGCUAAGCCUUCCCAAUUCAAAUACAUUACUGUUAUCGACUUUAUGUGGAUGCGCAGUAAGGCAAAGAGGUAUGAUGUAUUCGAAUUUGCUUAAGGAACGUAUUCGCGUUUUGGACAAAUCUAUUGGGUCAAUGCUGAAACACCCUGUGAUAGUUUUUAUUUGGAUAGCUCCACCCAAGGGAUGGUACAAGCUGAAUAUUGAUGUCUUUGUAAACAAAGAGAGUGAUGGUACCAUAAGAGGAAGUACUGGAGGAGUCCUCCGAGGACUUGUUACAACAAUGCAUUUGAUUUCUAUUCCAAAUCUGGCUUCUAGAAAUGAAGUAUUAUUAGUUGGCAUUUGUCGUAUUUUGAUGAAGUGUUGCAACAUGGCACGUACGUGGAGAAUAUAAUAUUGGAGUGUUUUGAUAAGAAUGUUAUUGAAGUGCUAAGGCGUAACAAGCAUGUACCACAAGAGUAUUCGCAACUUUAUAGGGAUAUUUUUGAUUUGCUAGCCCUAUUCAACAAGUAUAUGGUAGAGUUCGUAUAUCCGACGGGAAAUGAAGUUGCCAAUCGAUUAGCAUAUUUAGUUAUACAACCGAAAGUCGAUUUAGCUGGAAAAUGAUCAACGGUAUGAUCAACGACUCAAAGAUGAUGAUAUUCAGAAGAGAAUACGAUUUCAUAUGCCUGGUUAUUGCCGAGAAAGAUUGCAAGUCGUCGAUUGGGAGUUUAUUGACAUGGUUUAAUUGUUUGUAUAAAAUCUCUAGAGUACGAUUUUUCUAUUUUCUUCCAACACUGUGCAAGUGCAAUUCUAUAGUGCAUCAAAUUUGUGCACCAUUCUCUACAAGAAAACGGUCUUUACACUUUUUGUAUAUUUUUGACAAAAAUGACUUACAGCAUAGGCCUAAAUACUCAUAUAGAUCGUGAUUGUCGUAUUAUUUGCUUGUUGGUAAUAAUCUUUAUCUUUUCUAA